GGCACAGUGCGCAGUGUACACGGUGUGUUGAAUUCAAUGGGUCUGACCAGGGUUUCUGUGGGAACAAAACGGAGAGGAAGAGGAGGAUUCUGUAAACGACCUGGCGCUCCUAAAAGUGCAGAAUUAAACGGAUGGUUGCUGCAUGCCCCCAGCUUUCUCCUAGAAACACACAAAACAAAAUUAUCACACUGGUUUGCUGCCUUAAUGAACUGCCUCGGUGUCAAUAAAUAUUUGUCAAGUUUUUUACAAGAGGUUUCAAACUCUCAAAACAAAAAGGCAUACAACUGACCUGUGCAACUUAUCGCUACGGGGAAGACAAUAACAAAAUCGUUUUGAAACAAUGUAAGAUCCUUUUCCUGCUAAGGACUGCUUGGCCGAGAGCACCAGACAAUUCCUAAACUCUGAAGGGAUGGGGACUGGAAACAAUGCAAACGGGAGAAAAUGCCUCCUGGUGGAUCGCAGUCCUUAUGAGCACGUCUCCAUUUUCCCCACAAAACAGUCUCUCUUACUGGAAUGCCAGGCUUGCAGUCUUACUUGAUGGCAAACAAAGUGCACCUCCAGGAUCAUGGCCUCCUGUCCAUUGUAUUCCCAGGCUGCUUUCCCGAUACCAAAAGUACGCAUCCCUUGGCCCCCUUCCUGAAUGCAGGGAGAAUACGGACCAGUCCCAACUCCGAAGCAAGCACAUUCCAGAGCUUGGGAGCUGCUCAGGAGAAAGCUCCGUGGCCUGAACAAAGUGCCCUCAGAAGGACUUCUUACUGCUCUUUCCUAGUAUGGGGACAAAGCAGCGAGUUCCUUUCUUCCUCCUAAAACCCGAAGAACCGGGGUGGCUUUUGAAGGAAAGCAAUUUAAUUAUUUUAGCUCAUGUCUGGCUGUGUCAUUUGAUUCCCAGACAGAUUUAUUGAGCCCGUCUCUCAACCCGUUCUAGACACAAGCUCUGCUAGUCAGAAGAUGGAUUGGAUUUUAAAGCAGUCAUUUAAGGGAAAUGCUGUGAGGAGGCCCCCAAUUUGUCUCCAGACAGUUCCAGAAUCACAAAACUGAUACAUCUGUUGGCCUCCAGCUCCACCCAGUCGCCUCCUCAUUAUCACACACAGCGAGAAGCAGCAGCAUUCCAGUGGAAGAAUCCUCAGAAUUAAAAUGUCUAGACCUGGAGGCAGCUUGCCAGACCCGAUCACUGUGCUCGCCUGAGAUUUAAUGCGUGGAAGUGGAGAUGAGAGCACGAAUUAUACAAAUGAAAGCCAUUUCCAUUUCAGACCAUUAUUUCCCUAUAAGUGGUUGGGGGGUGGGACUGGGCUCUUUUAUACCACACGUUAAGGGGGGAGCAUUGGUUCUAAAUCACACUGCUGAGAGAUUAAUAUUUGACCUCGUUACUAAGUACGCCAAGCAGACACUGUAUCUGGCGUCAUCCAGCUUAGCUCUCAAAUCACGCUUCUCAAAGAACCCACCAACUUAACGUUGGCGGUGUCUAACAGGUUCCCUGCAUCGAUAAUAACCACAGCCGUGAUGUUACGUGCUGACCUGGGACCAGGCAGAAGCAUCUCCAUAGUAGUGGAACUCUAUAAACUUCCCCCAGCCACAGAUCACGGCCAACCAACCUAUGCAGAAUUCAGAGGGCCAAAUCCCAAUGGGAACAGACCAAGAGUGGCCAUGGAAUCGCAGGCCACCCACCCCAGAAUGGAGAAAGAGCCAGGCGCACUGCAGUGAGAGAAGAGCCUUCAUUUUCUCACUUGGUGCUCUUCCCCAUCCCUCAGGCUAUUCCGAGAACAUGAAGGAAAGAGGCGAUUGGCAGCUCGGGGACCAGCUGGCGCCCCUUUGGGAGCCAGGCUCGGCCCAUUGUCCGCCACUUGCCGACCCUUAAAUCUAUUAGCUUUAAUUUGCUGCGUAGCCUGAUCGUCUGCCAAAAAUCAUGCACACAGUGGAGGGAAGGCGGCACAGAAGACGAAAGGUCAGUGUUUGAAAGCAAGGGCUUUUAUCUGCAUGCACAUUUCAAAUCUGACAUCCUCCAAGGACGUGCUUCCUAUUUUGUUCAAUUUAUCUCAUAUCUCUGCCAAGUGGUUGAACAGCUGAAUACACACAUUAAAGACGCCGUUGCCUUUGUAUGGCUCCCUGCACCCCGAUAAUCAAGGGAAUCAUUACAUGAUUUGCAGAAACUGAAGGAAUGCGUUGCAUCCAAUUGCAAGAAGCAUUAAAAACCCCCUCAACCCCCUGCAUUUCAGUUCUCAGUUAAAAAGCUGUUUUAAGUCAGAUCUUUAGCAAGUUGGAAUACGGAUUUGGAUCUGCUCUGAGCAAAGUAGGGAAUUAAUUUUAAGAUUAUCAGGAAAAUCUGAUCUCUGAAGAUGUUGGCUGCUGGCACCAAAAACUCAUUCCACAGUAAAUACAAGAUAUUUUCUGGGCUGAAGCCAUGCUAUAAGCCGACUGUCCAAAAUGCACAAGGAUGCCCUUAAGGGGUGUGGAGGAGACAAAGUAAUCAAAGGGUGCUGACAAAGACGGCAACUCUAACUACUCCACUAGCCUAAAAGCAGGCAAUCAAGCU